rnacentral:misc_RNA from 1 species
GAUGAAGAACGCAGCGAAAUGCGAUAAGUAACGUGAAUUGCAGAAUUCAGUGAAUCAUCGAAUCUUUGAACGCACAUUGCGCCCGCUAGUAUUCUGGCGGGCAUGCCUGUUCGAGCGUCAUUUCAACCAUCAAGCCCUGUUUAGGCUUGUGUUGGGGCCCUGCGGUUGCCGCAGCCCCCUAAAUGCAGUGGCGGGCUCGUUGUCACUCCGAGCGCAGUAGCGUAUCUCGCUCUGGGCGUGGCGGCGGGUGCUAGCCGUGAAACACCCACUAAGGUUGACCUCGGAUCAGGUAGGAAUACCCGCUGAACUUAAGCAUAUCAAUAAGCGGAGGA